rnacentral:rRNA from 1 species
AAUGGCUGCAGUAAUUUGACUGUACAAAGGUAGCAUAAUCAUUAGUUUUUUAAUUAAAAGCUUGUAUGAAGGGUUGGACGAAAUAAAAUCUGUCUCUUUUUAAUAUAAUUAGAAUUUAAUUUUUAAGUUAAAAAGCUUAAAUUUUUUUAAAAGACGAGAAGACCCUAUAGAGUUUUAUAAUUUUGAUUUAUUAAUUAAUUUAGAUUUAUUAAUUUUAUUAUUUUUAAAUUAUUUUAUUGGGGUAAUAGAAAGAUUGAAAAAAUUCUUUUUUAUAUAAAUCAUUAAUAUAUGAAAAUUUUUUGAUCCAUAAAAUUUUGAAUAUAAGAUUAAAUUACCUUAGGGAUAACAGCGUAAUUUUUUUUAAGAGUUCAUAUCGAUAAAAAAGUUUGCGACCUCGAUGUUGGAUUAAAGAUUAAUUUAGGUGUAGAAGUUUAAAUUUUUGGUCUGUUCGACCAUUGAAUCUUUACAUGAUCUGAGUUCAAACCGGUGUAAGCCAGGUUGGUUUCUAUCUUUAUAAAAUUUUUAUAUUUUAGUACGAAAGGACCAAAUAUAUUAUAUAUUAAUAUUUAAAUUAUUGAAUAUU